rnacentral:lncRNA from 1 species
CCGACCAUUAUUUCUAUUUCAACCUUUAAGUAGGCCAAAAUCAUCAUUGUAAAAGAAAAGCUAAGAAGCCAAGAAGGAAGCAAGGAAGAAUGGCUUGACAACACGCUUACAAUAGAGAUAAGAAACCAUGGGCUUCUAGUACGGAGAGGUAGGGCAGCCCUUCAAACCUUCCAUCCUUUCCUCACAAAAACUCGAGGAUUUUCAGUGUGUCGCUCAUGUAGUAUAUCUGGAUCAAAAGCAGAGGAACUUCCUAUAGAAUUUCUUUUUGAGCAAUGCUACUGAGCAGCAUACUGCCUCAAAAGUGGAGGAGCUAGGGAUGCCAAUGAGUUGGAUGAAUAUCAGUCCAACCCGGUUCCAAAUCCGAGUUUUUCCAGAUCCGUUCAGAUUUAUUAAACUAACCUGAAAAAAGCGCAAAACUAGUGGAUUUUUUAUGCAAAUUGGCAUUCCAUGAACUAGCCAGUUAGGUAUGAAGAAACUGAGAAGAAGGCUCAGAAUGGCCCGUUUAUCAGACACAACACUCGCUGGUUUUCUCAAACUAGAAGCAAGAAACAACAGGGGGCAUGGCUAUGUCCGGGAGUGACAGACUGUUUUUAGGCUCACCAUCCAUUCAGCAUAUCUUUUUUACUUCAUAUCUAAAGAGGCGAGCAAAUGGUUGCCUGCAGAAGGCAGACCAUCCAAAUUUGCCCAAAAAGUUUAGGGACCAGCAGUGCAAUUUACCCAAAUAAAGCAUUAAGAACUCGGACCAUGAACACCCCAAAUUCGAAAUUCGAGAACUAAACCAGCAAGUCUGCAUCCCAAUUUAGGAUAGUAUCCCCUUGGGCGGGCCAAUAUCAUCAUUGCCAAACCAAAAGAACAGCUGAUCACCGGCAACUGGAGCAAAAAAAGAGGAAGAUGCUCCUAAUAACGACAGUGCAGGGCAGCCUUUCCAAUCCCCAAAGCUCACAAACAUUUAAGGGGCUGUUUGGUUCAACAUUCGUAAUAUUCCAGGAAUGCUGUAUGUUUUAUAUGUGGACUAGCAAGUUCGUAACAUUGAUGAUCAUCUAAGAUGAUUACAUCAAUAUAUAUAUAUAUAUAUAGAAUUAGGCUACUAUUAUAUAUAUAUAUAUAUAGAGAGAGAGAGAGAGAGAGAAUUAUGCUACUAUACUAUCGAUAGUACUAAGCGUUUGGUGCUAUCGAAUUUUUGACCGUUGGAUUAAAGGAUGUGCAGUUAGGAUGAUAGCAGCCUCCUAGGGUUGAGUGGAUGGUUGGUUGAAUAGAAUAAUCUAACGGGUGAAAAUGAUCAAAAUGAUAGAUCUAACGGCGGAAAACUUGGUAGCACUAAGUGCUUCGUGCUAUAUAUAAGAGUAUAUACGGUAUAUACGAUCAAAACAGCUAUGUAAUCAGUAACUUUAAUUGAGAAAAAGAAUAUCUAUUGAACUGUAUGAUAAAAUUUAUUUCAAGAAGGGGCAAGCUAGAGAGACUAGUCAAUCCGUCACCUCCAAGCUGCCGCAAAAACGUAAAUAAGGCGUUCACUAGCACAAAACCCUUAAAAAUGAACUCACUAAGAAUGUCGCAAAACCAAAGCAAAAACACUUGUUUAAACAACCCAAUGAAACAAAAAAAAACUCCAUAGAAUCUCAGCAUUAGUAAAAUAACCGGGUUAAUUGCAUACAGCUCCCUGUAACUCCUAGAAGAAACACACACUUGGAAAUACGAUGAGAUUGGGGGAAGUGAGGCUCAGAUUCACCAUUGAAUAUCAAAUAAACAAGUCUCCUCUCUCCCUCUCUCUCUCUCUCUCUCUCUAUUUAUCUCCCACGCUUCUUGUCCGAGUAAAACCCUUCAUAAGGGCAAAGGGCUGCAGCAGUUGCACUCAUGCCAUACAAGCUGCCUUGCCAUCUUGACCUUCAAAAUGGUAUGGUGUCAUCAAUCAUCAUUGCCUCCCCCUUGCGUACACACACACACACACACACACACACACACACACACACACACACACACACACACACACACACACACACACACACACACACACACACACACACACACACACACACACACACACACACACACACACACACACACACACACACACACACACACACACACACACACACACACACACACACACACACACACACACACACACACACACACACACACACACACACACACACACACACACACACACACACACACACACACACACACACACACACACACACACACACACACACACACACACACACACACACACACACACACACACACACACACACACACACACACACACACACACACACACACACACACACACACACACACACACACACACACACACACACACACACACACACACACACACACACACACACACACACACACACACACACACACACACACACACACACACACACACACACACACACACAUACACAAGAAGGGGCAAGCUAGAGAGACUAGUCAAUCCGUCACCUCCAAGCUGCCGCAAAAACAUAAAUAAGGCGUUCACUAGCAAACAACC